rnacentral:rRNA from 1 species
AAACUUUCAACAAUGGAUCUCUUGGUUCCGGCAUCGAUGAAGAACGCAGCGAAAUGCGAUAAGUAAUGUGAAUUGCAGAAUUCCGUGAAUCAUCGAAUCUUUGAACGCACAUUGCGCCCUCCGGUAUUCCGGAGGGCAUGCCUGUCCGAGCGUCAUCA